GACGAGCCUCACAAACGUUAUUCGGAAUCACUGGGCUUAAAGGGUGCGUAGGCGGUGUGGAUAGUCGGGUGUGAAAUCCCGGAGCUCAACUCCGGAACUGCACUUGAUACUGCCUUGCUAGAGUACUGGAGAGGAGACUGGAAUUUACGGUGUAGCAGUGAAAUGCGUAGAGAUCGUAAGGAAGACCAGUGGCGAAGGCGAGUCUCUGGACAGUUACUGACGCUGAGGCACGAAGGCCAGGGGAGCAAACGGG
rnacentral:rRNA from 1 species